rnacentral:rRNA from 1 species
AACGAACGCUGGCGGCAGGCUUAACACAUGCAAGUCGAGCGCCCCGCAAGGGGAGCGGCAGACGGGUGAGUAACGCGUGGGAACGCACCUUUUGGUUCGGAACAACUCCGGGAAACUGGAGCUAAUACCGGAUAAGCCCUAACGGGGAAAGAUUUAUCGCCGAAAGAUCGGCCCGCGUCUGAUUAGCUAGUUGGUGAGGUAACGGCUCACCAAGGCGACGAUCAGUAGCUGGUCUGAGAGGAUGAUCAGCCACACUGGGACUGAGACACGGCCCAGACUCCUACGGGAGGCAGCAGUGGGGAAUAUUGGACAAUGGGCGCAAGCCUGAUCCAGCCAUGCCGCGUGAGUGAUGAAGGCCUUAGGGUUGUAAAGCUCUUUUGUCCGGGAAGAUAAUGACUGUACCGGAAGAAUAAGCCCCGGCUAACUUCGUG